rnacentral:rRNA from 1 species
CUACGGGAGGCAGCAGUGGGGAAUAUUGGACAAUGGGCGAAAGCCUGAUCCAGCAAUGCCGCGUGAGUGAUGAAGGCCUUCGGGUUGUAAAGCUCUUUUACCAGGGAUGAUAAUGACAGUACCUGGAGAAUAAGCUCCGGCUAACUCCGUGCCAGCAGCCGCGGUAAUACGGAGGGAGCUAGCGUUGUUCGGAAUUACUGGGCGUAAAGCGCACGUAGGCGGCGACUCAAGUCAGAGGUGAAAGCCCGGGGCUCAACCCCGGAACUGCCUUUGAAACUAGGUCGCUAGAAUCUUGGAGAGGUCAGUGGAAUUCCGAGUGUAGAGGUGAAAUUCGUAGAUAUUCGGAAGAACACCAGUGGCGAAGGCGACUGACUGGACAAGUAUUGACGCUGAGGUGCGAAAGCGUGGGGAGCAAACAGGAUUAGAUACCCCUGUAGUCC